rnacentral:lncRNA from 1 species
CUCAGGGUUUUACAGAAAACCAUGGCGACUCUGACUCGGUGUCUGGCUCGGUCGCUGCCCGCUUUCUCCUCUCUCAUUUCUCGCUCCACUCCUUCUCUCUCCCUCUCCACCGCCUCUUGUUCCACUUUCUCACUUCUCCGCCUCCGCCCUCUCUCCGCAGCCGCCGUCUCCGUCCUCCGCCACCUCCCUCAAUCGACCAGUGCACGGAGCUUUUCCACUCGCCAAACCUCCUCCUCGCUCAAUGAUCCAAAUCCGAACUGGUCCAACCGGCCCCCGAAGGAGACGAUCUUGCUCGACGGUUGCGAUUUCGAGCACUGGCUUGUGGUGAUGGAGAAGCCGGAGGGUGACCCUACCAGAGAUGAGAUCAUU